GGUGAACGCUGGCGGUAGGCCUAACACAUGCAAGUCGAACGGCAGCACAGUAAGAGCUUGCUCUUACGGGUGGCGAGUGGCGGACGGGUGAGGAAUACAUCUGAAUCUACUUUUUCGUGGGGGAUAACGUAGGGAAACUUACGCUAAUACCGCAUACGACCUACGGGUGAAAGCAGGGGAUCUUCGGACCUUGCGCGAUUGAAUGAGCCGAUGUCGGAUUAGCUAGUUGGCGGGGUAAAGGCCCACCAAGGCGACGAUCCGUAGCUGGUCUGAGAGGAUGAUCAGCCACACUGGAACUGAGACACGGUCCAGACUCCUACGGGAGGCAGCAGUGGGGAAUAUUGGACAAUGGGCGCAAGCCUGAUCCAGCCAUACCGCGUGGGUGAAGAAGGCCUUCGGGUUGUAAAGCCCUUUUGUUGGGAAAGAAAAGCAGCAGGUUAAUACCCCGCUGUUCUGACGGUACCCAAAGAAUAAGCACCGGCUAACUUCGUG
rnacentral:rRNA from 1 species